rnacentral:rRNA from 1 species
UACGUAGGGUGCAAGCGUUUGUCCGGAAUUAUUGGGCGUAAAGGGCUCGUAGGCGGUCUGUCGCGUCUGCUGUGAAAAUCAGGGCUCAACCCUGGACCUGCAGUGGAUACGGGGCAGACUAGAGGUAGGUAGGGGAGAAUGGGAAUUCCCGGUGUAGCGGUGAAAUGCGCAGAUAUCAGGAGGAACACCGGUGGCGAAGGCGGGUCUCUGGGCCGAUACUGACGUGAGGAGCGAAAGCGUGGGGAGCGAACAGG